rnacentral:rRNA from 1 species
UACGGAGGGUGCAAGCGUUAUCCGGAUUCACUGGGUUUAAAGGGUGCGUAGGUGGGUAUGUAAGUCAGUGGUGAAAUCCCCGAGCUUAACUUGGGAACUGCCGUUGAUACUAUAUAUCUUGAAUAUCGUAGAGGUAAGCGGAAUAUGUCAUGUAGCGGUGAAAUGCUUAGAGAUGACAUAGAACACCAAUUGCGAAGGCAGCUUGCUAUGCGAUUAUUGACACUGAGGCACGAAAGCGUGGGUAGCAAAC